rnacentral:rRNA from 1 species
UACAGGGGGGCGAAGCGUUGUUCGGAAUUACUGGGCGUAAAGGGCUCGUAGGCGGCCAACUAAGUCCGACUGUGAAAUCCCCAGGCUUAACCUGGGAAACUGCGUCGGAUACUGGAUGGCUUGAAUUCGGGAGAGGGAUGCAGAAUUCCAGGUGAUGAGACGGGUGAAAUGCGUAGAUAUCUGGAGGAAUACCGGUGGCGAAGGCGGCAUCCUGGACCGACAUUGACGGCUGAUGAGCGAAAGCUAGGGAGCAAACG